CGUACGAUCACCGAAUUUAAGCAACGUCGAGCCUGGGUAGUACUUAGAUGGGUGACAAUUUGGGAAUACUAGGUGAUGUAA